rnacentral:rRNA from 1 species
AGGACGAACGCUGGCGGCGUGCUUAACACAUGCAAGUCGAGCGGAAAGGCCCUUCGGGGUACUCGAGCGGCGAACGGGUGAGUAACACGUGAGUAAUCUGCCCCUAGCUCUGGGAUAGCUCCGGGAAACCGGGAUUAAUACCAGAUACGACCACUUUAGACAUCUUCUGUGGUGGAAAGAACUUCGGCUAGGGAUGAACUCGCGGCCUAUCAGCUUGUUGGUGAGGUAACGGCUCACCAAGGCGACGACGGGUAGCCGGCCUGAGAGGGCGACCGGCCACACUGGGACUGAGACACGGCCCAGACUCCUACGGGAGGCAGCAGUGGGGAAUAUUGCGCAAUGGGCGAAAGCCUGACGCAGCGACGCCGCGUGGGGAUGAAGGCCUUCGGGUUGUAACCCUUUCAGCAGGGACGAAGCGAAGUGACGGUACCUGCAGAGAAGCGCCGGCUAACUCGCGCCAGCAGCCGC